rnacentral:rRNA from 1 species
CCUACGGGCGGCAGCAGUGAGGAAUAUUUGUCAAUGGACGCAAGUCUGAACCAGCCAUGCCGCGUGCAGGAUGACGGCUCUAUGAGUUGUAAACUGCGUUUUUACGAGGGUAAUAUCAUAUACGUGUAUCUGCUUGAAAGUAUCGUACUAAUAAGGAUCGGCUAACGCCGUGCCAUCAGCCGCGGUAAUACGGAGGAUCCCAGCGUUAUCCGGAUUUAUUGGGUUUAAAGGGUGCGUAUGCGUUUUUAUAAGUUAGAGGUGAAAAUUCGGGGCUCAACUCCGGACGUGCCUCUAAUACUGUAUGACUAGAGUAUAGAUGCGGUAGGCGGAAUGUAUGGUGUAGCGGUGAAAUGCGUAGAGAUCAUACAGAACACCGAUGGCGAAGGCAGCUUACCAAACUAUAUCUGACGUUGAGGCACGAAAGCGUGGGGAGCAAACAGGAUUAGAUACCCGAGUAGUC